rnacentral:lncRNA from 1 species
GGGCUUCCGUCAUUUUCACCUCAAAUUAAAAGUCAAAAUCUACAGCUUUGGCUUCAUUGACUCUCCGUCAAAGAAGUCGAGAGCUUCGACGAAUCUUCGGCGCCAGAAUUGGACAAAAUCAAAAUUGGUGAGGCGAAAUUAGAUCUAAAAUCGGAUAAUGUUGGGGACAGGAGGAGGAAGAGCGGUGCGAGCAGGAACUUGCCGGAG